rnacentral:misc_RNA from 1 species
UUGGGUGGCUCUAAACAACUCUUCUUAGUAUCCUUGGUGCAGCUAGAUCCUAAAGCCACUUGGAUUCCAGUUGCCAGAAACCGCUGAUGAUUUGCAGAGAGGCUACCCGCUGAAUGGAUUGGUUCAUCACAGUCCUCGCAGAAAAGGGCUCUGUCUUCAACACAGAAAAUGAAAGCUGCCUUUUCUUGGCAUAUGUCACAACGAGGCAGCUUGUUGGAAAGGCA